AGCGAACGCUGGCGGCAGGCUUAACACAUGCAAGUCGAGCGGGACCUCCGGGGUCAGCGGCGGGCGGGGGAGUGAGGAGUGGGAACUAACACUCUGGUCUGGAACAACUCUGGGAGGCUAGGCCUAAUAAAGCAUACGCCAUUUCGGGGAAAGGUUUACUGCCGGAAGAUCGGCCCGCGUCUGCUUCGCUGGUUGGUGGGGUAACGGCCUACCAAGGCGAGGAUGAGUAGCUGGGCGGAGAGGAUGAUCAGCCACACUUGGACUGAGACACGGCCCAGACUCCUACGCGAGGGAGCAGAGGGGAAUAUAGGACAAUGGGCGCUGGCCUGAUCCAGCCAUGCGGGGUAAGUGAUGAUGGCCUUAGGGUUGUAAAUCUCUUUUAUACGGGACGAUAAUGACGGUACCGGAUGAAUAAGCCCCGGCUAACUACGUG
rnacentral:rRNA from 1 species